GUAAGGAGGGGAAUGGGGGUCACAUCUCUUCUCAGAGAAAGCAGAAGUCCUUCUGGAGCCCUUCAGCCGGGUCAGGGCUGAGGCUUGGGGGUCAGGGCCCCUCACCUUCCCCUCCUUUCCCAG
rnacentral:miRNA from 1 species